rnacentral:rRNA from 1 species
UACGUAGGGGGCAAGCGUUGUCCGGAAUCAUUGGGCGUAAAGAGCGUGUAGGCGGCCCGGUAAGUCCGCUGUGAAAGUCCAGGGCUCAACCCUGGGAUGCCGGUGGAUACUGUCGGGCUCGAGUCCGGAAGAGGAGUGUGGAAUUCCUAGUGUAGAGGUGAAAUUCGUAGAAUAUUAGGAAGAACACCAGUGGCGAAAGGCGGCUCACUGGCCCGGUACUGACGCUGAGGCGCGAAAGCGUGGGGAGCAAAACAGGG